UUAAGCGACUAAGCGUACACGGUGGAUGCCCUGGCAGUCAGAGGCGAUGAAGGACGUGCUAAUCUGCGAAAAGCGUCGGUAAGGUGAUAUGAACCGUUAUAACCGGCGAUGUCCGAAUGGGGAAACCCAGUGUGAUUCGUCACACUAUCGUUAACUGAAUACAUAGGUUAACGAGGCGAACCGGGGGAACUGAAACAUCUAAGUACCCCGAGGAAAAGAAAUCAACCGAGAUUCCCCCAGUAGCGGCGAGCGAACGGGGAGCAGCCCAGAGUCUGAAUCAGCUUGUGUGUUAGUGGAACGGUCUGGAAAGUCCGACGGUACAGGGUGAUAGUCCCGUACACCAAAAUGCACAGGUUGUGAACUCGAAGAGUAGGGCGGGACACGUGGUAUCCUGUCUGAAUAUGGGGGGACCAUCCUCCAAGGCUAAAUACUCCUGACUGACCGAUAGUGAACCAGUACCGUGAGGGAAAGGCGAAAAGAACCCCGGCGAGGGGAGUGAAAAAGAACCUGAAACCGUGUACGUACAAGCAGUGGGAGCACCUUCGGGUGUGACUGCGUACCUUUUGUAUAAUGGGUCAGCGACUUAUAUUCUGUAGCAAGGUUAACCGUAUAGGGGAGCCGCAGGGAAACCGAGUCUUAACUGGGCGUUAAGUUGCAGGGUAUAGACCCGAAACCCGGUGAUCUAGCCAUGGGCAGGUUGAAGGUUGGGUAACACUAACUGGAGGACCGAACCGACUAAUGUUGAAAAAUUAGCGGAUGACUUGUGGCUGGGGGUGAAAGGCCAAUCAAACCGGGAGAUAGCUGGUUCUCCCCGAAAGCUAUUUAGGUAGCGCCUCGUGAAUUCAUCUUCGGGGGUAGAGCACUGUUUCGGCUAGGGGGUCAUCCCGACUUACCAACCCGAUGCAAACUACGAAUACCGAAGAAUGUUAUCACGGGAGACACACGGCGGGUGCUAACGUCCGUCGUGAAGAGGGAAACAACCCAGACCGCCAGCUAAGGUCCCAAAGUCAUGGUUAAGUGGGAAACGAUGUGGGAAGGCACAGACAGCCAGGAUGUUGGCUUAGAAGCAGCCAUCAUUUAAAGAAAGCGUAAUAGCUCACUGGUCGAGUCGGCCUGCGCGGAAGAUGUAACGGGGCUAAACCAUGCACCGAAGCUGCGGCAGCGACACGAUGUGUUGUUGGGUAGGGGAGCGUUCUGUAAGCCUGCGAAGGUGUGCUGUGAGGCAUGCUGGAGGUAUCAGAAGUGCGAAUGCUGACAUAAGUAACGAUAAAGCGGGUGAAAAGCCCGCUCGCCGGAAGACCAAGGGUUCCUGUCCAACGUUAAUCGGGGCAGGGUGAGUCGACCCCUAAGGCGAGGCCGAAAGGCGUAGUCGAUGGGAAACAGGUUAAUAUUCCUGUACUUGGUGUUACUGCGAAGGGGGGACGGAGAAGGCUAUGUUAGCCGGGCGACGGUUGUCCCGGUUUAAGCAUGUAGGCUGGUUAUCCAGGCAAAUCCGGAUAAUCAAGGCUGAGGUGUGAUGACGAGGCACUACGGUGCUGAAGUAACAAAUGCCCUGCUUCCAGGAAAAGCCUCUAAGCAUCAGGUAACAUCAAAUCGUACCCCAAACCGACACAGGUGGUCAGGUAGAGAAUACCAAGGCGCUUGAGAGAACUCGGGUGAAGGAACUAGGCAAAAUGGUGCCGUAACUUCGGGAGAAGGCACGCUGGUGUGUAGGUGAAGUCCCUGCGGAUGGAGCUGAGACCAGUCGAAGAUACCAGCUGGCUGCAACUGUUUAUUAAAAACACAGCACUGUGCAAACACGAAAGUGGACGUAUACGGUGUGACGCCUGCCCGGUGCCGGAAGGUUAAUUGAUGGGGUUAUCCGUAAGGAGAAGCUCUUGAUCGAAGCCCCGGUAAACGGCGGCCGUAACUAUAACGGUCCUAAGGUAGCGAAAUUCCUUGUCGGGUAAGUUCCGACCUGCACGAAUGGCGUAAUGAUGGCCAGGCUGUCUCCACCCGAGACUCAGUGAAAUUGAACUCGCUGUGAAGAUGCAGUGUACCCGCGGCAAGACGGAAAGACCCCGUGAACCUUUACUAUAGCUUGACACUGAACAUUGAGCCUUGAUGUGUAGGAUAGGUGGGAGGCUUUGAAGCGUGGACGCCAGUCUGCGUGGAGCCAACCUUGAAAUACCACCCUUUAAUGUUUGAUGUUCUAACGUUGGCCCCUGACCGGGGUUGCGGACAGUGUCUGGUGGGUAGUUUGACUGGGGCGGUCUCCUCCCAAAGCGUAACGGAGGAGCACGAAGGUUAGCUAAUCCUGGUCGGACAUCAGGAGGUUAGUGCAAUGGCAUAAGCUAGCUUGACUGCGAGCGUGACGGCGCGAGCAGGUGCGAAAGCAGGUCAUAGUGAUCCGGUGGUUCUGAAUGGAAGGGCCAUCGCUCAACGGAUAAAAGGUACUCCGGGGAUAACAGGCUGAUACCGCCCAAGAGUUCAUAUCGACGGCGGUGUUUGGCACCUCGAUGUCGGCUCAUCACAUCCUGGGGCUGAAGUAGGUCCCAAGGGUAUGGCUGUUCGCCAUUUAAAGUGGUACGCGAGCUGGGUUUAGAACGUCGUGAGACAGUUCGGUCCCUAUCUGCCGUGGGCGCUGGAGAAUUGAGGGGGGCUGCUCCUAGUACGAGAGGACCGGAGUGGACGCAUCACUGGUGUUCGGGUUGUCAUGCCAAUGGCACUGCCCGGUAGCUAAAUGCGGAAGAGAUAAGUGCUGAAAGCAUCUAAGCACGAAACUUGCCCCGAGAUGAGUUCUCCCUGAGACUUUAAGUCUCCUGAAGGAACGUUAAAGACGAUGACGUUGAUAGGCCGGGUGUGUAAGCGCAGCGAUGCGUUGAGCUAACCGGUACUAAUGAACCGUGAGGCUUAACCUU
rnacentral:rRNA from 1 species